rnacentral:lncRNA from 1 species
AGUUAGAAAGAUAGAAUUAGAAACAAAAAUAGCACUCACACGCGCAAACAUGUCUUUUACCUUUUUAGGCUCGCUGUAAUCACGAGCAAAAUAUCCCUUGUUACGAUAGUUAUAGCACUUCACUUUUGCUAUAUUUUUCUUCUUGAAAGGAUGUUUUCCUUCCUCUUUUUGGUGAAACUUUCUUUUCUUGUUUGCUUUGAAACCCCU